UCCCUCCCUCCCUCCCUCCUUCAGCGCCUUGCCUUCGGGCUCGGCGGGAUCGCGCUUCCGGUGCGGUUCCGUAGAGGCCAGGCCCGCGCGGCCCAGAGCAGCGGUCCGUCCCGGCCCUCCGUGCUUGCUCGGGGGCGGCUGGCGGGGAGCGUUCCGGCCGCCUCUGUCUGCCGCGCACGCUGGCAGGCUGGGCUGCGGUGGAGGGUAGCGGAGGAAAGGGUUUCCUCCCGGCGCUAGCUGCGGAACCGGGAUGCUCACCUGGCGGGGCCGGAGCAGUCGAGGCGGAGGUCGAGGUGUCUGAGGGGAGGCGGGCAGUUGCACAAGGACUGCAGCCGAGCGGCCCACGCCGUCCGUGGGCCUGGGCCAGGGCCGGUGGGCAGAGCCGGUGCCGUGUGCCGCAUAAACCAGCGGGUGAACUUCUGUUGGAAGCCCUUACGCAGGAGGAGUGAGGCCCCCCUGGAGGACCGGGGUCUCUAAUUGCGUACUGCCCAGAUCCUGGAACACAAUUUUGAGGCAUUGCAGCUAUAGAUGCCUGGAAUGCCAGUGACAAUGGGACAGCCAAUGCCAGGAGCUGUACCAAAUAUGCCUCAUGGUGCGUGCACUGGAUGUUCUGCGUAUGCUGGUGCUUACUCUGCUGCUGGCUGACUUCAGUGCUAUUGCUGGACAGAGGUCAUGUGUGCAGCCCCACGGGUUACGAGAUGGUUCUGGCUUCUGUGGUGCCAACAUGCACCUUCUCAAGAACAUGGAUCUGCAGAAGCAAUGUAUUGGAAGAUGUCCAGUUAGAGGAUGGUGAAGUAGAUGCUGAAAAACUGCAGUGAUAUCUAAUGCAGUCUGGAAUUAGUAGAACCCGUUAUUGUAAGAUACUGAGUGUUACCACCACUGCCUUGUCUUCUGAGGUGCAAACUUGAGAAGACUGGGCUUUUAUGCCUAAUCUAAUUCUGUCACCCAUCAGAUGAUGUCAAGGAUGCCGCUCCAAGAUAAGUGGUUUCAUUCAUGUUAAGCUGAUCACCAGCAGUACAAGCAUUAGAAAUCAGAGCUUCCAUUGAACUUUCACAGUUUCACGAAAGGAAGAUUAAGAUAAAGUUCUUGCAGUGCACCAUGGCAUUCUGAGUGCUGAACUGCUGGAAGAAAAGAGGAUUGCCAACCUGUCAAAGUUCAUGUUCAGAAGAACUGCUGUGAAUGGAAGCUACUGUAGAGUUUUUAAUCUUCUUGCCUUAUAAGACAUGUUCUUCGAAUGAAUACUUUGAUUUUUAAAUGCACAUU